UGGGGAGUAUUGCACAAUGGGGAGGACCCUGAUGCAGCGACGCCGCGUGAGGGAAGACGGUUUUCGGAUUGUAAACCUCUGUUCUUUAGGGACGAAAAAAUGACGGUACCAUAAAGAGGAAGCCAACGGCUAACUACGUGCCAGCAGCCGCGGUAAUACGUAGGUGGCAAGCGUUGUCCGGAAUUACUGGGUGUAAAGGGAGCGUAGGCGGGGAGGCAAGUUGAAUGUUUAAACUAUCGGCUCAACUGAUAGUCGCGUUCAAAACUGCCACUCUUGAGUGCAGUAGAGGUAGGCGGAAUUCCUAGUGUAGCGGUGAAAUGCGUAGAUAUUAGGAGGAACACCAGUGGCGAAGGCGGCCUACUGGGCUGUAACUGACGCUGAGGCUCGAAAGCGUGGGUAGCAAACAGGAUUAGAUACCC
rnacentral:rRNA from 1 species